rnacentral:rRNA from 1 species
UACGUAGGGUGCGAGCGUUAAUCGGAUUUACUGGGCGUAAAGCGUGCGCAGGCGGCCCGUUAAGACAGGCGUGAAAUCCCUGGGCUCAACCUAGGAAUUGCGCUUGUGACUGGCGGGCUCGAGUACGGUAGAGGGGGGUGGAAUUCCUGGUGUAGCAGUGAAAUGCGUAGAGAUCAGGAGGAACACCGAUGGCGAAGGCAGCCCCCUGGGCCUGUACUGACGCUCAUGCACGAAAGCGUGGGGAGCAAACAGG